rnacentral:tRNA from 1 species
GGAAGCUUAGCUCAGCUGGGAGAGCAUCUGCCUUACAAGCAGAGGGUCACAGGUUCGAUCCCUGUAGUUUCCACCA